AUUGAACGCUGGCGGAAUGCUUUACACAUGCAAGUCGAACGGCAGCACGGACUUCGGUCUGGUGUCGAGUGGCGGACAGGUGAGUAAUGUAGCGGAACGUGCCCAGUCGUGGGGGAUAACGUAGUGAAAAUCACGCUAAUACCGCAUACGAUCUAUGGAUGAAAGCGGGGGAUCGCAAGACCUCGCGCGAUCGGAGCGGCCGAUAUCAGAUUAGGUAGUUGGUGGGGUAAAGGCCCACCAAGCCAACGAUCUGUAGCUGGUCUGAGAGGACGACCAGCCACACUGGAACUGAGACACGGUCCAGACUCCUACGGGAGGCAGCAGUGGGGAAUUUCGGACAAUGGGCGAAAGCCUGAUCCAGCCAUUCCGCGUGCAGGAAGAAGGCCCUCGGGUUGUAAACUGCUUUUGUACAGAACGAAAAGGUUUCUACUAAUACUAGGAGCUCAUGACGGUACUGUAAGAAUAAGCACCGGCUAACUACGUGCCAGCAGCCGCCGUAA
rnacentral:rRNA from 1 species